AAUUCCUAAGGGAAUAUACAAAAUUUGGUGAAGUAAAUCCUCUUCUUAGCAGUAGAGGCUAAUGUAGAGCUUCGAGGACUAACAUCAAGGAGCAGAACAUCAUACGGGACUUGCAUGUAGAUAUAAACUUUAUGUACAUUCUGUAAAGACUCGAAAAAAAAAGGCAUCAACAGGCACUGUGAAAUAGAUGUAAAUAUCUCUAAGUACACUGUAGUGGGUCAACGUUUAUCUAUACCUCCUUCAAAAUCAAUGCGAGUGAACACCCAAGUUUUCUAGAAAGAUGAAUCAUUUUUUUGUAUAAAGUAGAUCAACUAAUGAGAAGCAUAGUAGGCAUAGAAGAUAGCAGAACAGCCUAAGAAUGAGUAGAACAGCAUGUAGGAUGAGAGGGGCACCAACAUGCUAGAUGAGAUGAUAUGAUCGUUUAAAGUGAAUAGCGAUGGAGGAGGGAAGUGCAUAAGCAUGAAUCACAAAAAUGUACUAUGUCCAAGGAAAAAAAAAUCUGAAGGCAGUCAAGAUGAUACUGAAAUCUGAAAGCUACAUGAGUCCAGAUUUUUGCAUGGAAAGAAAGUGCAUAAAUGUCAAAGCAGAUGAGUUUAUAAACCAUGUAAAAAAGUGUUCUCAAGCUGCAAUUGGUUCAAAGGAGAGAUCUAUUAAAUCGGUGAUAAUAGCAAUAAGAAACUGUAGUGAAUGAACUCGAAAUAUGGAUUAAUGAAAAGAUGAAUUUAAAUUUAUGUUAUUUGCUUUGGCUUGUUAUUGCUCAAAAACAUAAUGUGAUUUUCUAUGUUUAUAUAGGGCGUGGUAUUAUGUAGAGUGCUUUUUCAAAAAGACUAUUAGGUCAUGGUUUCUUUACAAAUAAUAUUAUGCUUCUCCUCUUGUUUUUGUUCAUUAACAUUAGACCAUGAUGAGUCAAAAAGUUCUUUUUUUUUUAAGGAAAAAGGUCAAAAACUUUGGAAGAGA
rnacentral:lncRNA from 1 species